rnacentral:rRNA from 1 species
UAGGGAAUCUUCGGCAAUGGACGAAAGUCUGACCGAGCAACGCCGCGUGAGUGAAGAAGGUUUUCGGAUCGUAAAACUCUGUUGUUAGAGAAGAACAAGGACGUUAGUAACUGAACGUCCCCUGACGGUAUCUAACCAGAAAGCCACGGCUAACUACGUGCCAGCAGCCGCGGUAAUACGUAGGUGGCAAGCGUUGUCCGGAUUUAUUGGGCGUAAAGCGAGCGCAGGCGGUUUCUUAAGUCUGAUGUGAAAGCCCCCGGCUCAACCGGGGAGGGUCAUUGGAAACUGGGAGACUUGAGGGCAGAAGAGGAGAGUGGAAUUCCAUGUGUAGCGGUGAAAUGCGUAGAUAUAUGGAGGAACACCAGUGGAGAAGGCGGCUCUCUGGUCUGUAACUGACGCUGAGGCUAGAAAGCGUGGGGAGCAAACAGG